rnacentral:lncRNA from 1 species
UUUUUUUUUGUUUGUUUUCUCUGUUGCAUUUUAUUUUCUUCUUAUUUAUUUUCUUUUCUGUUUUAUUUCAAUUUAAACUAUUUAGGCAUUUUACAAAAAUGUGUUUACCACACCAUAUUUACUUAUGCAAAAUAUGGCAUCUCCCGAACAUUUUUAUUUUUAAUAUUUGAAAACUUUUGUCGUUUGACUUAUCUAGGGUUUAAAUUUGAAACGGUUUUGAUUUAACCCGAGACUAAUUACAGUGACAGAGGUGACGUGCCACCAUUAACGUGAGAUUACUGUAGCAUGAUUAUCCGGGCGUUACACUACAUCAUUGUCGUUGCUAGGUUGAGCAUCAACAUGAACAUCAUCAUUAACAUUAUCACUAGGUUCAUGUUCAUCACCAGAUUGUGUUUCAGCAUCAGAGAUAGAAAUAUAAUUGGGAUUCUCAGGUGUGUCAACAACAGGUUCACUAGAAGCAUGCAAAGUCCUAUCAUUUUUCUUUUUCUUCUUUUUAGAAGGACUAGGUGCAUCAACAUUAGUUCUCUAAGAAUCUUGUUCAAUUCUCUUAGGGUGGCCCUCAGGAUACAAAGGUUCCUGAGUCGUUUUACCCCCUCUAGUCAUAACUCUAACAUCAUUAUCAUUUUUCUUACUAUUUAAUUGACUGAGCAAAUCAUUUUGAACUUUAAGAACUUGUUCUACUUGAGUGGUAACCAUAGAAGCAUGUUUACUAAUGAGUUUAAGUUCACCUUUAACACUAGCCAUAUAAUCACUCAAGUGUUCAAUCAUAUAAGCAUUUUGUUUCAAUUGUCUACCAAAAUAAGCAUUAAAAUCUUCUUGCUUAACCAUAAAAUUAUCAAGCUCAUCUAAGCAUUGGCUAGCAAACUUAGCAGGAGGGAUCUCAACUUUAUCAUAUCUAUAGAGAGAAUUUACCUUUACUACCUGUGUCGGGUUAUCAACACCCUGUAUUUCUUCAACAGGCGGUAAAUUAAGACCAUGCAUUUCUUCAACAGGAGGUAAAUUCUUAACAUCUUCAGCUUUCAUACCUUUUUCUUUCAUAGAUUUCUUUGCCUUUUGCAUUUCUUCAGGACUGAGAAAUAGAACACCCCUUUUCUUCGGAGUUGGCUUAGGAGUUGGUUCCGGAAGUGUCCAAUUAUUUUCAUUAGUCAACAUAUUAUUCAAUAGCAAUUCAUCCCGAUCCACAGUUCUUUCCCUGAAAACACGACCAGCACAACUAUCCAGGUGGUCUCUGGAAGCAACGGUUAGUCCGUUAUAAAAUAUAUCAAGUAUUUCAUUUUUCUUAAGAGGAUGAUCAGGCAAAGCAUUAAGUAAUUGGAGAAGCCUCCCCCAAGCUUGUGGGAGACUCUCUUCUUCAAUUUGCACAAAAUUAUAUAUUUCCCUUAAAGCAGCUUGUUUCUUAUGAGCGGGGAAAUAUUUAGCAGAGAAGUAAUAAAUCAUAUCCUGGGGACUACGCACACAACCAGGAUCAAGAGAAUUAAACCAUGUUUUAUCAUCACCCUUUAAUGAGAACGGAAAUAAUUUAAGGAUAUAAUAGUAGCGAAUUUUAUCAUCAUUAGUGAAUAGGGUAGCUAUAUCAUUUAAUUUAGUAAGAUGUGCCACAACAGUUUCAGAUUCAUAGCCAUAGAAAGGAUCAGAUUCAACCAAAGUAAUUAUCUCAGGAUCAACAGAGAAAUCAUAAUCCUUAUCAGUAACAAAGAUAUGUGAAGUAGCAUAAGCAGGAUAGUAUUUCAUUCUAGCAUUUAGAGUUUUUUCUUUCAGCUUAGCUAAUAAUUUCUUAAGAUCGCUCCUAUCAUUGCAAGCAAGAAAGUCUCUAGCAGUUUCUUCAUACAUAACAUAACCCUCAGGCACAACAGGCAAUUCAUAUCUAGGGGGAGAAUCUUCAUCAUCACUUUCAUCAAUAUUAUCAGUUUCAAUAAUUUCAUUCUCUCUAGCCCUAGCAAGUUGUUCAUCCAGAAACUCACCUAGUGGCACAGUAGUAUCAAGCAUAGAAGUAGUUUCAUCAUAGGUAUCAUGCAUAGCAGAAGUGGCAUCAUCAAUGACAUGCGACAUAUCAGAAUUAAUAGCAGAAGCAGGUUUAGGUGUCGCAAGCUUACUCAAAACAGAAGGUGAAUCAAGUGCAGAGCUAGAUGGCAGUUCCUUACCUCCCCUCGUAGUUGAGGGAUAAAUUUUGGUUUCCUCGUCUUUCAAGUUCUUCAUAGUGACCAGCAGAUAUAAAUCCAAGUGACUCAAAGAAUAGAGCUAUGCUCCCCGGCAACGGCGCCAGAAAAUAGUCUUGAUAACCCACAAGUAUAGGGGAUCGCAACAGUUUUCGAGGGUAGAGUAUUCAACCCAAAUUUAUUGAUUCGACACAAGGGGAGCCAAAGAAUAUUCUCAAGUAUUAGCAGUUGAGUUGUCAAUUCAACCACACCUAGGUAACUUAGUAUCUGCAUCAAAGUAUUUAUUAGCAAAGUAGUAUGGAAGUAACGGUAACGGUGGCAAAAGUAACAGUAGCAGUUUAGUAGUAAUUGUAACAGUGGCAACGGUAAAGUAACUAAGCGAAGAACAAUAUGUGAAAAGCUCGUAGGCAUUGGAUCGGUGAUGGAUAAUUAUGCCGGAUGCGAUUAUUCAUGCAACAGUUAUAACAUAGGGUGACACAGAACUAGCUCCAAGUCAUCAAUGUAAUGUAGGCAUGUAUUCCGAAUAUAGUCAUACAUGCUUAUGGAAAAGAACUUGCAUGACAUCUUUUGUCCUACCCUCCCGUGGCAGGGGGGUCCUAUUGGAAACUAAGGGAUAUUAAGGCCUCCUUUUAAUAGAGUACCGGACCAAAGCAUUAACACAUAGUGAAUACAUGAACUCCUCAAACUAUGGUCAUCACCGGGAGUGGUCCCGAUUAUUGUCACUUCGGGGUUGUCGGAUCAUAACAUAUAAUAGGUGACUAUAGACUUGCAAGAUAGGAUCAAGAACUCACAUAUAUUCAUGGAAACAUAAUAGGUUCAGAUCUGAAAUCAUGGCACUCGGGCCCUAGUGACAAGCAUUAAGCAUAGCAAAGUCAUAGCAACAUCAAUCUCAGAACAUAGUGGAUACUAGGGAUCAAACCCUAACAAAACUAACUCAAUUACAUGAUAAAUCUCAUCCAACCCAUCACCGUCCAGCAAGCCUACGAUGGAAUUACUCACGCACGGCAGUGAGCAUCAUGAAAUUGGUGAUGGAGGAUGGUUGAUGAUGACGAUGGCGACGGAUUCCCUCCGGAGCCCGGAACGGACUCCAAAUCAGCCCUCCCGAGAGAGAUUAGGGCUUGGCGGAGGCUCCGUAUCGUAAAACGCGAUGAAUCCUUCUCUCUGAUUUUUUUCUCUCUGGAGACGAAUAUAUAGUGUUGGAGUUGAGGUCGGUGGAGCACCAGGGGGCCCAUGAGGCAGGGGGGCGCGCCCAGGGGGGUAGGCGCGCCCCCACCCUCGUGGACAGGGUGUGGGCCCCCUGGCCUUGAUUCUUUCGCCAGUAUUUUUUAUUAUUUCCAAAAAUAAUCUCCGUGAAGUUUCAGGUCAUUCCGAGAACUUUUGUUUCUGCACAAAAAUAACACCAUGGCAAUUCUGCUGAAAACAACGUCAGUCCGGGUUAGUUCCAUUCAAAUCAUGCAAGUUAGAGUCCAAAACAAGGGCAAAAGUGUUUGGAAAAGUAGAUACGAUGGAGACGUAUCAGAUACCUGCUGGAUCUUUGUGCCCCGUUGUCGUUAUGGGCUGGGCCUGUUAAAGACAAAACCAAGCCUGGGCAGUCUACAACCCAGUUGAAACUUGCUCGACCUGAAAAAACAAUAUACCUGCUCAACAAAUGAGAGAAUUCUGCAAGUACAGACUGAUAACUGGGAUGCAGCAGGUAUAUUGUUUUUUCAUCGUGAUAAUAAGUGCAUGCACUGGUUUCGGAAAAUUUGGAGAACUGGGAAUUCGAACGGCAGGUGCUUAUGCUACCCAUCAAAUAAAAAUCAAGUGCCUGAAAAUUCGUUUCGAAACAAAUGAUUCUGCUUGCGGACCCUCGGCAUGAUGGUUGGAAGCAAAUGCCAAGUUCAUACCGAAAGAUCGUUAACAACAAUAACAACUUGCGGACGACAAGGUAGUACAAGUACCAAUACCAAACUAACUUAUAAUCUUUUUACUCCUGGCCCUAGUGUUCGUCUGGUAGAAAAUCUUGCAGAGGACCAGCUCCCGCUCCUUCUCUUGCUCCAGGUCCCCGAGGUGGUACUGGUGCAUCACCUAGUUGGUCCUCUACUGGUCGAAGUUCUUGUUGGUGUGCAGCACCAGAACCUUUUUGCUGCCCGUCUGCCGGCCGUUGACCGCCACCGGCAAGGUAGUGCCGGUCUUGUGCCACAUCGCGUGCAUGCCGCACUCCGACUGUAUCUUGCGACGCGUCCACGUGCCCCUUUUGAACGCCCUGGAAUUGCGCUGGAAUAAAUGCUUGCUUAGGCCACUCAGUGUGAUAAAUGCAGUAUUGUCGAAUACAGGUUUUAGUGUACGUGAUUGGCAUUUUCAUAACAUCUUUGGCAUGUUGUAGCCACUUGUUUUUAUUAACUGUCAAAUUGUAAUUGUUUCACUAGGUUUGCGUCUAAAAAGAAAAAUAGAGCUAUAAACAAAGGAAUAUGUUUGUGCAAGUAGACGGCCGAUCGGUGUCUUACCUGGAAGUUUCUCAGGAUGGGUGUAGCAUAUGUCGUGCUCGCUGUCGAUGGUUGGUAUGAAUAAAUCGAUGAGAGGGUGAGAUCUCGCGCUGUCAGCAGUCACUUUGGCCUCAAGGUGCUCGAUCAGCUCCUGAUCCGUGGGAUCGAACUUGACGCCAGCUGGCAACACCGGCCAAUCCUUCUUGGACUUGCAUCGGUUAAUUCCAGUUAUAUGGUACUCAAUGUAUGAUCAAUCGACUGUUUUAAGUGAAUGAUGAAAGAUUUCGACAGAUAAGUGGUACUCCAAAUCUGAAGUCCACAAUACCCGAAGACACCGCCGGGAUUCUUGUGUCACCUCACGCGCAGCGUGUUGUCACGUCAAUUUAAUGUGUGGACAUGAUGAAUAAUUUGACCCACGUAUACUAGUACUGCUAAUGUACUACUUACUAGCCGUAUUUAGUGUCACAUUUUAACCAUAGGUUUAACUAACAAAAUGUCAAUGCAUGUCACCAAAAAUUAUUCCAUUGGAAACUAUGUUCAAAUACGAAUAAAACGAUAUAAUUUUUUGUGACAUGCAUUAACAUUUAGUUAGUGAAAUUUAUGGUCAAAAUUUGACACAAAUUACGAAGGGGACCAGUAAACCAGGAGGGAGGUAGUAGUACGAGUAGCGCAAUAUACGGUAUAGAGGACUAGUACAAAUUUAAAAAUGGGGUAAGAAGUUACAAGGCUGUGCGACAGACUUUGUAGGCUACAUGAGUAAUACAAAAUAUAAUUUCCAUUGGAUAACACUUUCACCAACAAGUACACACUUGAACCUUAAUUGAUAUAUAUAUAUAUAUAUAUACAUAAACACUAUUCUGAUCACGGGAUCAGAAUAAUAUUCUGAUAACAACCUGAACUGCCUGAGUAACGCGCCUGAACUUCCCUCUGUACAAACCCGAACUUCGGGCUAUCUUCGCAACCGUGGCUUCCCCCGCGAAUUAUUUUUGUUAGUCAUGUUCUAUAUGAUGUUAGUGUAAUCUAGAAACAUUUUUAGCAACUAAAUACCGGUUUUAAAUAGGAAUCUCGCUCGUUGGCGGAUUUUGUUCUCGGUUCGUGAUGAAAUUGCGUUUUUUGCAAUUUUACUGCCUGAGUUGUUCGACCUGAACUUCUCCCAGUGCUAGGUUGAACUUCCGCCAACAUUGCUCAAAUGGGGCUUGCGAUAUACCGUUGGAAAGCUAUGGACACCAGUAUCAAGACCCAAGUUAAAUUUUUGGCAAAAUGUAAGCGGUUUAAGAGCAGUUUUGAAAACCGUUUUUCUUCAUACAAAAAUAUGAAUCGUAUUUUCGAUCGUAUUUCUAAACCGUUUAUCGGAAUGAAGCAAAUAAUAUGGCAUUGGAAAUCUGCUACAAAACCGCUCCUUCGACAUGUUGAAAGUUUUCUCUAAUUCCCUACGGUUAAAGUGUAAUUUGGAAAAUCGUAAAAUUUCGUAAACCGAACAGCCGAGUUCGUAUUUUCGAUAUUAUUUCUAAACGGCUAAACCAAUUGAGGCAAAUGAUAUGGCGUUGGAAAGCUUAUGAAAAUGCGCUAUUUUUUCAUGUAGAAAGUUUUUUCAAAUUUUGAACGGCACAAGAGUAAUUUAGAAAAUGGUACAAGUUCCACCGAGUUCGUAUUUUCGAUCUAUUUUUUUAACCGUAUGUCCGAAUGCAGCAAGUGAUAUGGCGUUGGAAAGCUUCAGGAAAUGCGAAACUCUUUAGUAUAUAUUAUUUCUCCCAAUUCCUUACUGUUUUAUGUCAAUUUUGAAAAUGGCUAAAACCGUACUUUCGCCGUAAUUUCUACCAACUUUAUUGGAAUGGGGCAAAUAAUAUACCAUUGAAAAGCUAAGGAAAAUGCGAAACUUUUUCAUGUUGAUGGUUUUCUGUGAUUCCCAACUGUUUGAAAGUAAUUUCAAAAAUGGCGAGAUCAUUUCUUCUGCCUUUAUCGCGAAACAGAUCCUUCGAAAAUGCACCACGUGAAGAACCUGUACUUCUCGGCAUGUCUACUUGAACUUCACUCUGUUUUUCACGUGCUUUUUUUGCUCGUAGAUCUCCAUGCACUGCUCGUAGCUCUCCAUCCACUCACCGGAAUUAAGCAAGCGAUAUACCGAUGGAAAGCUGCUGUAAACACACAACUUUCCCGUGUUGAUCGUUUUUUCAUACUCGCGACAAUUUUAAAAGUUUUUCAUCUCAAAUUCAUUCACUAUAGUAGUCGAACUUCGUGUUGUUUUCACGUUGAACUUCUGUGACGUAUUUUCGUUUGUAAUUUUCUCAUCCAUUUCGUCAGUGUUACACAAAUGAUAUUCUUUUUGUACAAACCUCUCUCACAAUUUUUUUUAACUUUUUCCGAUCGAGGACUUGAACUUACACAAAUGAUAUUCCUGUCGUUUUGAAGUAAAUUAGAGAAAUGACGAGAUCAUGAUUUCUGCCUUCAUUGCGAAUGGAAACACACUGCGUGAAGUAGUUGAACUUCUCGGGCAUGUCUGUUUGAACUUCACUCUGUUUCACUUUAUUGUAUUUUUCUUAUAUGAAAUACACACCAUGUAGUACGUGAACUUCCGGUUGUUAUCACUUGGAACUUCUCUCUAGUUUGAGCGAAUUAUUUGAAAACACAAAAAACAACAUCUUUUUAUGUAUUUUGGACAUCUAAAUACACGGUGAACCUCUCUCACAAGAAGUUUUUUAACUUUUCCUCGCCGAGCACUUGAACUUCUAGCAACCAUUUUUUCGUUUAUGAGUUGUCUUUAAAUGCAAAAAAAUGGCGUUGUGCUUUUUAUUUUUUGAACAGGUAAGUCCUAGGUUUUAAUAAACUCUGAACUUCUCUGUUAUUUCAAUUUGAACAUCACCUUUUUAUAUUUUGAGUAAAAAAUUGUAUUCGAUUUUAUACGGAAAAAAUCGAACAUGGAAAUACAAGGUGAACCUCUCUCGCAAGAAAUUUUGAACUUCUCCGAACAGAGCACUUGAACUUAUUUCAACAAAACUUUUAAGCUUUUAUUUUUCUAUACUUUUAUUAUCACGUGAAAUGCAUUCCUUGCAGUACUUAAACUUCUCGUUGUUUUCACUAUGAACUUCUUUCAACAGAUAAGAAUUUUUUGAAUACAUAAAAAUGUGUUUUAAAUGGCAUACAAGAAAAUUUUAAAUCGUUCAUCGAAAUGUGGCACAUAAUAUACCUGGUGGAAAGCUUAUGAAUAGCGGCAAGUUUUUCAUGUAGACAUUUGUUACAAAUUCGUUGCCGUAGACAUAUGUAAAUGAACGAUGGACGUCUCGCACAUGAAUUUUUGAACUAUGCUAGGAGGAGCACGUGAACUUCUUGCAACAAACCUUUUAAGCUUUUAGUUUUCUACUUCUAUAUUCUUAUCUGAAACGCAUUCUGUGUAGUAGUUGAACUCCCCGCUAUUUUCACCUUAAACUUCUGUCACGUAUUUUUGUUCAACCUCUCUCACAAGAAUUUUUGAACUUUCUCGAGUCGAGCACUUGAACUUCUAGCAACAAUUUUUUUUAGCAUUUUGCUUUUUUAUUAUCUUUUAAUACAAAAUGCACACCGUGUAGUACGUGAACUUCUAGCAGUUAUCAAUCUGAACUUCUCUCGAUUACGUGAAAAUAUCCGAGUUUUACAUUGAAGCGCUCUACUUUCUUUUAUUUGAACUUCAUUGUGUAUUUUUAGAAAUGGAAAAUUGGAGUUUUGUUAGAAACAUCGAACUUCUUCGUUAUUUUCAAUUGAACCUGUUGGUUUUAUUCUUUAGUGAUCAGAAAAUCCGAGUUUUUAAGUAAAUAUCAAACUGCUAUGCUUUUCCCAAUUGAACUUCUUUGUUAUUUUGAAUUGAACUUAUUGGUUUUUUCUUUAGUAACCAGAAAAAUCUGAGUUUUCAAAUAUAAUAUCUAACUGCUCCAUUUUUAAAAUUUGAACUUCUUCAUUUUAGUUCUUUUAGUAAUGGAAAAAUUUCUAGGUUUGUAAUAAACAUAGAACCGCUCAUCUAUUUUAAUUUGAACUUCUGGUUUUCUUUAUAUAUCAGAAAGAUCCAUUGAAAUCCAUGGAAAUUGUUUGAACUUUUUUGUUUUUCAUUUUCUUUAACCUCUCCAUUUUAUUAAUUUUAAACUUUCAGAGUUAACAAGUCCAUUUAUACAUGAACUUCUCGACGAUAUGUCCCUGACCGGCUCAAGUUUUAUGCAUUCUUAUAUAUACAAAAAAGGAAAGGAAAAUAGAAAAAAUGUUGCGUUCUUAUGGACACCACUAACACUUUUUGAGAGCACCGUAUUCCACUGUAAUUUUUUGCAUAAUUUUGCCGCAAAAAAUGGCAUUUUUUGUUGUUGUCAACAUCAAGUAGCAUAACUUGAUUUUUUCUGAUGGAAUAAUACUAAUAGAACUACUGCAGGUUUUCUUAUUGAACUGCUACUGAAUGAUGGCACAACAUGAUUUCUUGUGAGCUCCCGUGUAUACACACAACACGCGAAGCAUCAACCUUCAUAUACAUGAACUUCUAUCAUUGGUAUUUCAUAACCUUUUUUGCGUUCUAUGUAUAAUGACUUUUGCGUUCUAUCGUCGCCAACAAAUGUCUCUAUCUCUCUUCAUGAAACACAAGGCUUGAAACACAAAAGAGAGUACGAACUAGCAUAAACAUGUAUGAAAAGUCCAUCAUGAUCUAACAACAUGCAAAGAAUUCUCUGAAGUUUUUCUUCCGGUGUUAUGUCUGAACUUUAAUUCCAAACUCACACCAAAAGGAAGAGAACAAGACAGCAGGAUCCAUGGGAAGGCUGAGGUGCUGAAGAACACAAAAAUGGUUUCAUCGUGUACAUGGCUCCAAAAGAAGAAGAAACAAGUGCACAUGCGCACUGUAACAGAGUGCAAAGGGCUACACCUACCAACUUACCUCAUGUUGAUGCAUAAGUUGUCUGUACGUAUAUGCCGAUGAAUGAUUGAGUUAACUCAGCUGCUCACUGCACUUUAUAUAGAAGAAACACACUAAUGGAGGGACAUGCAAUGCAAGGACUCAUACAUUCACACUUGAACUUUUACUGUUACAGCUCGUUUGGCUCCCCUGAUUUCAUUUCAUUUGGUGGAAAUGAAAUGAAAUCUCCAUCAAGAUUUCAUUUGCCUGAAUCCAAAUUCCAAAUCCAAAUUUCAUGUUUGGCUGGCACUAGGAUUUUGAGAUGAAAUCCUUACCAGCACCAAAAUGAGCAAGAAUAUAACACUGAACCUUUGAUGUUCACACAUACAAAAAUGGUUUGCAUUAAAUUGAACCAUAGAAGUACACAUAAAUGAAAAACAGAAGGAGGAGCUUCAACAUAGGACUUUGUGAAAAGUUCAAUAUUAACAAUACAGCAGAGGUUCACAACAACAUAAAAUUAUCACAAUUUAGCCAAGAUUACAUAAAACUGAAGCUUUGCAGCUUUGCAUUACUAGCUCCACCAAGGAAGAUUUCCAUUGCUUGAUUUGCUUGAGGAUCCUUUUUUUCCUCAUUUUUUCAUUCAACGCCAUACUUCUUCCAAAAUUUGAUGCCCUUUUGCAUGUAGAAAGCGGUUUCUUUUAUUUUUCCUGCAAACUAACAUGAGAAAUGGUCUCAUGCUGUACAUGUAAACAGUCAUCAAUGGAAACUGCAGUUUGUAAGCUAUAAUGGCGACAGUAGCGAAUUGUAUAUUUUCUAAUAAUGGUAGAAAAAGAGUAGAAUUUUACUUGAUAUAUUGCGUACAAUAUACUGGUUUGAGAGUACAACAAACAAAAAUGGAAUUCUAAGUUCUGAACUUCCAACUUUGACAACAAGAUCAAUGUAAAUUGCAGAUACAAUACAAACAAAGCAGAUCAUAACAACAUGGCGAUAUUGGCUACCUCUUCAGGUGCCCGAGGGGACGUUUACAUGUUUAUAGCUGAUCAUACACAAGUAGCAAGAUUCAAUUUAGCUUAUAGGAUAUGUGUAUUUAUCAUCUAUGGUCACAUGUACUACUCACUUUGUUUACACAAGCAUGCAAGCAAAUAUACAAGACAAGCACAAUUUAAAUUUUGUGCCAUGAAGAGAGGUGUGCAAAUGUGCCAUACAGAACAGAAAUGAACAUGUUUUGAGGUAUGGAGGAAAUACACUCCCAAGGAUAGUAGCAGAAAUGACCAUAUUUCUUUUGCCUAAAUCUGAACGUAUACUAUGACAAUAUACUACUACUAAUAUUGUUUCAGCGCAGUCUAGUAAAAGGAAGCAGCAAGGAAAAGUAACAACAUUUUCAGAGAGCAUUUCAAAGAACAUUUUCAGAGAACUCCAAGCAAAUGUAAUAUAUCUCUGCAGUUUCAUCCCUCAAAGGGAGAUAGAACAAAGUAAAUCUGGGUCACUACUAGCGCACGAUCAGUACAUACAUAUCUACUAUUGUUAAAUGUAGGCCACGGCUACACUACUACAACAGAAAACGUCAUCCACGACAAUGAAUAUACAACUGAACUUUAGACACUAG